GGCGCGUGAUUGACGGCUCAGAUUAAAUCACACACAUUCCAUUCAUUUCCACGCACUUUCUCUCUCCUCAACCAUUUUCUCUCUCCUCCAUUGCUAUGAGCUUUCUCUAUCAAAUUGGGUAUAAUUGCUUCAAAUUCAUCCAGAUCUUGCUAAAAUUGCUUCAAAUUCGUCGAGGUCUUGUUGGAAAUUCAAUUUUUCUUAUUUAAUUUGGUGAAUUUAGGAAUUUUUUCUACGACUCUGAAUUUUCAGCGGCAUUUAAGGUUGAAAUCUGCUGAAAUUUGAAGUUGUUAAAAAUGAAGUUACGAGAGAUUGAGGUUGUGCAUAAUUGAAGUUAAUUAAUGUUGAAAUUUUACACAAAUUUGAGUAAUAUUUCUGAAAUUUACUACGGAAUAUAAUUUUUCCGUUUUUUUGUUCCAGUGAUUUUAUUGUUGAAUAAUUUAAUUAGUCUAAAUGAAGGUUCUUAAUUUGUAACUUUGCAUA